rnacentral:rRNA from 1 species
UACGUAGGUGGCGAGCGUUGUCCGGAUUUACUGGGCGUAAAGAGCGCGCAGGCGGCUGGUCAAGUCCGAUGUGAAAGCUCCCGGCUUAACUGGGAAAUUGCAUCGGAAACUGAUCGGCUGGAAGGUGGGAGAGGGUAGCGGAAUUCCCGGUGUAGUGGUGAAAUGCGUAGAUAUCGGGAGGAACACCGGUGGCGAAGGCGGCCUUCUGGACAGUGACUGACGCUGAGACGCGAAAGCGUGGGGAGCAAACAGG